AGUGCCCUAAGGUUGUGCUGCAUCUCGAGCUACCAGAAUGCAAGUACAAGUGAAGAUAACGUCGGAGACGUGCUGUGCUCCCCUUUCGUCAUUGCCAAAGGAGAGAUCUUUCUGACUGCCGGGGUAUUUACCA
rnacentral:lncRNA from 1 species